UGGGGAAUAUUGCACAAUGGGCGCAAGCCUGAUGCAGCCAUGCCGCGUGUGUGAAGAAGGCCUUCGGGUUGUAAAGCACUUUCAGCGAGGAGGAAGGGUAGUGUGUUAAUAGCACAUUGCAUUGACGUUACUCGCAGAAGAAGCACCGGCUAACUCCGUGCCAGCAGCCGCGGUAAUACGGAGGGUGCAAGCGUUAAUCGGAAUUACUGGGCGUAAAGCGCACGCAGGCGGUUUGUUAAGUCAGAUGUGAAAUCCCCGCGCUUAACGUGGGAACUGCAUUUGAAACUGGCAAGCUAGAGUCUUGUAGAGGGGGGUGAGAAU
rnacentral:rRNA from 1 species